ACAAGGAUUUCCCCUGUAUUCCCUAACGUUUUCAGCGUUUUACCGACCCCCGUUCUUAAUUACCGGCACUUUUCCCGAUUUCAAGAGGGUAAAUCAUCUAUUUUAUCAAUUCUUAUUCAGAAUAUUAAAUUGCCUAAAAAAACAUUAGACUGUAAUUUUUAAAUUUUGGUUAAGAUUCGAUUUCGUAAGGGCAUUGAUACAGGUGUGAUGAUGAAUUCCGUUAUCCUCCUAUUUUUUAUACCGCUAUAUGAUAAAUUGAUAAUUAAUAGAGUAUUUAGCAAGAUAUUAUUAAUCAAAGCACGACGAUUUGUAAAGUACGCCGCGGUCAUUUUGAUAACGCUUUUCUUAGCGACAUCUAGUGGAGGCAAUUGUUGUGAAAUCGUCAGUGAAAGUCGUUAAAUUGUUUCAGUUUAAAUCUCUAAAAAAUGGCUCCAAUGAAACCGGGAACAGCGCGAGUGCGAUCAUCACCUCUUGAUAAAAAUAGUCAGGAAUACCGAGAGGGUCGUGAAAAGAACAAUAUUGCCGUUAGAAAAAGCAGAAUGAAAAGUCGCUUAAAGCAAUUAGAAACAAAUCAGCUGGUGGAAGAAUUAAAAAAAGAAAAUGCAGAAUUAAAAGAAAGAGUUAAUCUGUUAUCUAAAGAAUUGGGGGUUUUAAAAGAUUUGUUCAUCACUUAUGCAGAGGACAAAUCUUGACGAAAAUUUAAUGUUAUGACGACUUUAGUGGAUCAUUUUUUGUAGAUUUCAAUAUUUAUAACUUGCUUACAGAGUUGUUUCAGUUUGUCUUUAUCUUUUAAUAAAAUUUUCAAAACUUUUCAAUUUA
rnacentral:misc_RNA from 1 species